UGGAAGGGGAGGUUAAAUGGCACUGCUGAAACAGUAUCUUCUCCCUUGUUAAUAAUAAUGCUUGCAUGAUUCUGUGCUGAAUAGUGGAUUAACAAUUUUCACCACCAGCAGGGAGGCCAGUGGGCAACUGUAAUUUAUAAAGCAGCAGUAUCCAUCUUUGAAAGGAGUAUUACCAGCAUGUCGAGGGAGAGAGGGCACCAAGAGCCUUGCAGGAACAGCUUCACAAGGGAAGAGAAGCCAAUAAUGCAAACCCAAAGCCAGAGGUGGGAGGUCUGGCAGCCAGAUGAUCUGGGAGAGGAGUUUGUGAUGUGCUACAUGGGAACCAUUACCAUGAUGGUCUUCUCUGAGGAAGGUAGCUCAGUCCUAUCUCACGGGAUGCUCCCUGAGUACAGCCCUGACAGGAGAAAGUUCCAGUCGACCCGUUGGUGUGAAUAAGGAUUUAAAUGAAAGGGGAAACAAAUGGAAGCAGCAACCUCCUGUACCCCACUAAAGAGACAGUUAACUGGAUCCUCUCACUAAAAGCCUGACUGAAUCUUUCUUCCUAAGGUGAGAGCAAGUCACUACAUCUCCACCUAGCUGAAACAAAAUGGGCCAGUGUAAUUCAAAACUUAGGAUAACAGAGAAGUACUGUUGCAGUAUUUUCAAAAGUGAAAAAGACAUAGGAAAUACAACAAAAAUUCUUAUGAUUUAGGUUGUUUGGUAGAGCUGGCACAUGUUGUAUGUAAGAAUCAUUUAAUAUUGUCAGAUAAAAAGUAACAGUAAUGCCACUACAAAGACAAGCUUGUUUCCAAAGAGCUCCCAUGCUCCUCUUCUUCUUUACUGAAAGGGUUGUGAGGCAUUGGAACGGGCUGCCCAGGGAGGUGGUGGAGUCACCAUCCCUGGAAGUCUUCAAAAGACGUUUAGAUGUAGAGCUUAGGGAUAUGGUUUAGUGGGGACUGUUAGCGUUAGGUCAGAGGUUGGACUCGAUGAUCUUGAGGUCUCUUCCAACCUAGAAAUUCUGUGAUUCUGUGAUUCUUCUUCCUUUUUUUUUUUUUUUUUUUUUUUUUUUUUUAACCUAAAGAAAUUUCUGCAUAUUUAAACACUGAAUAGAUCUUUAAAUAUUUCUGUAAUAGGUGAUGGAAAAGCAAAUUAGAACAUGAAGGAACAGUCCACAUUUGUUAAAGAUGACUUAC
rnacentral:lncRNA from 1 species